rnacentral:rRNA from 1 species
CUCCGGUGAUGCCGGCGGGACCCGACUGCUAUCGGAUUGAGAUUUAGCCAUGCGAGUCGAACGUUCCCCUGUUGCGGGGAGCGUGGCGUACGGCUCACUAACACGUAGUCAACCUGCCCUGGAGACGAGGACAACCCCGGGAAACUGGGAUUAAUCCUUGAUAGGUCAUCUCAUCUGGAAGGAGAGAUGGCUUAAAGGGGUACGCGGGCUUCUUCCGCGAAUUCGCUCCAGGAUGGGACUGCGUCCGAUCAGGCUGUUGGCGGGGUAAUGGCCCACCAAACCUGUAACCGGUACGGGCCUUGAGAGAGGUGGCCCGGAGAUGGACACUGAGAGAAGGGUCCAGGUCCUACGGGGCGCAGCAGGCGCGAAACCUUCGCAAUGCGCGAAAGCGUGACGAGGUUAAUCCGAGUGACUCCCGCUGAGGGGGUCUUUUGUCAGCUGUAAAUAGGCAGGCGAAUAAGGGGAGGGCAAGCCUGGUGUCAGCCGCCGCGGUAAUACCAGCUCCUCGAGUGGUCGGGGCGAUUAUUGGGCCUAAAGCAUCCGUAGCCGGUUCCGUAGGUCCUCUGUUAAAUCCAACCGCUCAACGGUUGACCUGCAGAGGAUACCGCGGGACUAGGAGGCGGGAGAGGCGGACGGUACUCCGCGUGUAGGGGUAAAAUCCUUUGAUCCGCGGAAGACCACCAGUGGCGAAGGCGGUCCGCCAGAACGCGCUCGACGGUGAGGGAUGAAAGCUGGGGGAGCGAACCGGAUUAGAUACCCGGGUAGUCCCAGCCGUAAACGAUGCUAGCUAGAUGAUUCAUUCGCAAGUCGCGAAUGAAGUGUCGCAGGGAAGCCGUUAAGCUAGCCGCCUGGGGAGUACGGUCGCAAGACUGAAACUUAAAGGAAUUGGCGGGGGAGCA